GACGAACGCUGGCGGCGUGCUUAACACAUGCAAGUCGAACGGAAAGGCCCUGCUUUUGUGGGGUGCUCGAGUGGCGAACGGGUGAGUAACACGUGAGUAACCUGCCCUUGACUUUGGGAUAACUUCAGGAAACUGGGGCUAAUACCGGAUAGGAGCUCCUGCUGCAUGGUGGGGGUUGGAAAGUUUCGGCGGUUGGGGAUGGACUCGCGGCUUAUCAGCUUGUUUGUGGGGUAGUGGCUUACCAAGGCUUUGACGGGUAGCCGGCCUGAGAGGGUGACCGGCCACAUUGGGACUGAGAUACGGCCCAGACUCCUACGGGAGGCAGCAGUGGGGAAUAUUGCACAAUGGGCGGAAGCCUGAUGCAGCAACGCCGCGUGCGGGAUGACGGCCUUCGGGUUGUAAACCGCUUUCGCCUGUGACGAAGCGUGAGUGACGGUAAUGAGUAAAGAAGCACCGGCUAACUACGUG
rnacentral:rRNA from 1 species